rnacentral:rRNA from 1 species
CACAUGGAAGGGGCGCAAGCCUGAUCCGCCUGCCGCGUGAGUGACGAAGGUCUUCGGAUUGUAAAACUCUUUUGGCGGGGACGAUAAUGACGGUACCCGCAGAAUAAGCCCCGGCUAACUUCGUGCCAGCAGCCGCGGUAAUACGAAGGGGGCUAGCGUUGUUCGGAAUCACUGGGCGUAAAGCGCACGUAGGCGGAUGUGUCAGUCAGGGGUGAAAUCCCGGAGCUCAACUCCGGAACUGCCUCUGAUACAGCACGUCUUGAGUUCGAGAGAGGUGGGUGGAAUUCCUAGUGUAGAGGUGAAAUUCGUAGAUAUUAGGAAGAACACCGGUGGCGAAGGCGGCCCACUGGCUCGAUACUGACGCUGAUGUGCGAAAG